AAAUUAGGGUUCCUGGUUCGUUGAUCAAAGGCAAGAAGAUGACGAUUGAUUACGAAAUCUGCAGUGAUCCGUUUGAUUCAAGAUGUGUCCUCGCCACUUCAAUGUAUCCUCCUGGAGCUGAACCAAAGAAGGCGAAACGUUUCUUGGAGAAGAUCAGAGGGAAAGAGGUAGAUAUGUUCAAAACUACACAAGAGAUGAAGAGUUUUAUCUUAUCAACGAUCAGAUCAAGAAGAGCCAGGGCUUUGACGUCGAUUUCUCAAUGUUCCGUGUCCUUUUCGAUUUCUACCCGUCGCUUCUCGAUGAGAGCAAUGCAACUAAAAAACCAGAAACUGAUAGAGAGUAUUUUGGUAGAUUAGCUGAGGAAGCCAUUGAAAGAUUACAACAAAAGAGAGGUGAAGUGACAAAACUCUGACUCAGUCACACUUUUUGUUAGAAUGUGGAUUUGGUUUGUGUUUUGUAAUGCAUAUCCAAUACAUUCUUGAAUAAUGUGUUUGAUGUACCGAGGACGAGUUUUGAGUUUGUUGAGGUUGAGAAAGUUAAUGUUCACUUAGGUAGCGGAUACAUCUACUUCAUCACAUUUGUAGUCAAGGAUCCUUGUGAUGAUGAUAACCAGACAAAGAUCUUUCAAGCUAAGGUCCACAAUGUUUUAUGUAGAGAGAUUGCGCACUGCUUCUGCAGGCCAAAACCCGAACAACAAGUAAAAUAUGAUGAAGAUUUCAAGAAUGUUGUGAAGAAGCGAAGGGUUCAAGUAUAAGUGAUGCUACCAUAUAUUGGUCUCUAUGGGAGAAAAAAGUGCAUGCAUCAAAACCAUGUUCUCGUAUGCAUUUGCUCAUCUUGAGCUCCCUCUCUUACUAGCUAGCUUUGGAGCUUUCAUCACAUCUUUGCCUUGG